rnacentral:tRNA from 1 species
AGGUGGUUCAGUGGAUAGAGCACCAGACCUAGAGUCAGGAGGUCCUGGGUUCAAACCUAGCCU